AAGUCGUAACAAGGUUUCCGUUGGUGAACCUGCGGAAGGAUCAUUAACACGAAUCCAAACGUUAAAACCCCCCCCCGUGAACCUUCAUCCUGCUCUUGUAACCCGUGUAGUUUGCAAUCUCUGAUAAAUCAUAGCCCGGAAAGUUGUAGUGAUUCAGAGACCUCUGGCUACGUGCGAACAUUGGAACAGUUACAAUCGAGCGGUAGUUCUAUAGGCAAUGUUUUCCCAAGCAGUCAGUGUCGGAAAGUGUCAUUGAUUGUGCAAGGAUAGCGCUUCUACGAUUCCUGUAGACCGUACACUCGGGCAGGAGCUUUGCCAAAGGGUCCCCAUGCCCCCUAAUAACCCCACAGUUUAAUCGAACAACUGUUAACAAUGGAUAUCUUGGUUCUC
rnacentral:misc_RNA from 1 species